UACGGAGGAUGCAAGCGUUAUCCGGAAUGAUUGGGCGUAAAGCGUCCGCAGGUGGCAAUGUAAGUCUGCUGUCAAAGCGUCUGGCUCAACCAGAUAAAGGCAGUGGAAACUACAUAGCUAGAGUAAGGUAAGGGUAGAGGGAAUUCCUGGUGUAGCGGUGAAAUGCGUAGAGAUCAGGAAGAACACCGGUGGCGAAAGCGCUCUGCUGGACCUUAACUGACACUGAGGGACGAAAGCUAGGGGAGCGAAUGGG
rnacentral:rRNA from 1 species